AUUGUGCACCUUGAAGGCAAAAAGGACAGUGGUGGAAAAAGUAUUUAGCUGGCACUCCACCACCCGGUCCACUUUAUCAGAGAGCUGCAGAGAAGCACGGGAUCAAUGUUAACGACAGGUGUCUGUUUACCCUCUAAAACACGGAGCCAAGUUAAACAAGUGCAAAGAUGCCCAUUAAAAGACCACAGACUGUCCUUAUUAGAAGAGAAAUGUACUGCGGUUGCCGGGGGAAGAACAGUAUUGCUACUGAUGACGUUACCCACUCAGGGUGGAGCUACACCGCUCACUCAUAUAUCAAAAAUGCCCCCCGCACAUUAAAUAACUCAAACCACAUGAUUUAUUUAUUUGUUUAUGAUGCCAAUAAAUGCAUUCAGGGAGUUGUAGUAAAGAAAAACUUUUGAUUUAUUGUACCCCUGUGAUGCGCAGCCUUGAUCGCGCUCUCCUCCUGAACAGCUUCCCUGCAGUUUUCCUGGCAGCCGUUUUCUCGUUCUUCUCUGA